rnacentral:rRNA from 1 species
UACAGAGGGGGCAAGCGUUAUUCGGAAUUAUUGGGCGUAAAGGGCGCGUAGGCGGCUUUGCAAGUGACGGGUGAAAGCCCUCGGCUUAACCGAGGAACUGCCUGUCAGACUGUAAGGCUUGAGACCGGGAGAGGUGAGUGGAAUUCCCAGUGUAGCGGUGAAAUGCGUAGAUAUUGGGAGGAACACCAGUGGCGAAGGCGGCUCACUGGACCGGAACUGACGCUGAGGCGCGAAAGUGUGGGGAGCGAACAGG